rnacentral:rRNA from 1 species
GAUGAACGCUGGCGGCGUGCCUAAUACAUGCAAGUCGAGCGAACGGACGAUAAGCUUGCUGUUCUGAUGUUAGCGGCGGACGGGUGAGUAACACGUGGAUAACCUACCUAUAAGACUGGGAUAACUUCGGGAAACCGGAGCUAAUACCGGAUAAUAUUUUGAACCGCAUGGUUCAAAAGUGAAAGACGGUCGUGCUGUCACGUAUAGAUGGAUCCGCGCUGCAUUAGCUAGUUGGUAAGGUAACGGCUUACCAAGGCAACGAUGCAUAGCCGACCUGAGAGGGUGAUCGGCCACAAUGGAACUGGGACGCGGUCCAGACUCCUACGGGAGGCAGCAGUAGGGAAUCUUCCGCAAUAGGCGAAAGCCUGACGGAGCAACGCCGCGUGAGUGAUGAAGGUCUUCGGAUCGUAAAACUCUGUUAUUAGGGAAGAACAUAUGUGUAAGUAACUGUGCACAUCUUGACGGUACCUAAUCAGAAAGCCACGGCUAACUACGUG